UACGGAGGGUGCGAGCGUUGUCCGGAAUCACUGGGCGUAAAGCGCGUGUAGGCUGCUUGGCAAGUCGGAUGUGAAAGCCCUGGGCUCAACCCAGGAAGUGCAUUCGAAACUGCCGAGCUGGAGUCCUGGAGAGGAAGGCGGAAUUCUCGGUGUAGAGGUGAAAUUCGUAGAUAUCGAGAGGAACACCGGUGGCGAAGGCGGCCUUCUGGACAGUGACUGACGCUGAGACGCGAAAGCGUGGGGAGCAAACAGG
rnacentral:rRNA from 1 species